CUACGGGCUGCUCCAGUGAGGAAUAUUGCACAAUGGGGGGAACCCUGAUGCAGCAACGCCGCGUGGAGGAUGACGCAUUUCGGUGUGUAAACUCCUUUUAUAUGUCAAGAAAAUGACGGUAGCAUAUGAAUAAGCACCGGCUAACUCCGUGCCAGCGGCCGCGGUAAUACGGAGGGUGCAAGCGUUACUCGGAAUCACUGGGCGUAAAGGACGCGUAGGCGGGUUGGAAAGUCAGGUGUGAAAUCCUACAGCUUAACUGUAGAACUGCACUUGAAACUUCUAAUCUAGAGUAUGGGAGGGGGAGAUGGAAUUAGUGGUGUAGGGGUAAAAUCCGUAGAUAUCACUAGGAAUACCUAAAGCGAAGGCGAUCUCCUGGAACAUUACUGACGCUAAGGCGUGAAAGCGUGGGGAGCAAACAGGAUUAGAUACCCCAGUAGUC
rnacentral:rRNA from 1 species